rnacentral:rRNA from 1 species
UACAUGGGGUGCAAACGUUGCUCGGAAUUAUUGGGCGUAAAGCGCACGUAGGCGGUCCGUUAUGUUGGAUGUGAAAGCCCUAGGCUCAACUUAGGAAGUGCAUCCAAAACUGGCGGGCUAGAGUAUGGAAGAGGGUCGCGGAAUUCCCGGUGUAGAGGUGAAAUUCGUAGAUAUCGGGAGGAACACCGGUGGCGAAGGCGGCGACCUGGGCCAAUACUGACGCUGAGGUGCGAAAGCGUGGGGAGCAAACAGG